CAGUCGCCGCGGGAAUACAGAGGGUGCGAGCGUUAAUCGGAUUUACUGGGCGUAAAGCGUGCGUAGGCGGCUUCUUAAGUCGGAUGUGAAAUCCCUGAGCUUAACUUAGGAAUUGCAUUCGAUACUGGGAAGCUAGAGUAUGGGAGAGGAUGGUAGAAUUCCACGUGUAGCAGUGAAAUGCGUAGAGAUGUGGAGGAAUACCGAUGGCGAAGGCAGCCCCCUGGGCCAAUACUGACGCUCAUGCACGAAAGCGUGGGGAGCAAACAGGAUUAGAUACCCCCGUAGUCCCUGUCUCUUAUAC
rnacentral:rRNA from 1 species